rnacentral:rRNA from 1 species
UACGAAGGGGGCUAGCGUUGCUCGGAAUCACUGGGCGUAAAGGGUGCGUAGGCGGGUUUUUAAGUCAGGGGUGAAAUCCUGGAGCUCAACUCCAGAACUGCCUUUGAUACUGAGAGGCUCGAGUCCGGGAGAGGUGAGUGGAACUGCGAGUGUAGAGGUGAAAUUCGUAGAUAUUCGCAAGAACACCAGUGGCGAAGGCGGCUCACUGGCCCGGUACUGACGCUGAGGUGCGAAAGCAUGGGGAGCGAACAGG